UUAGCGGCGGACGGGUGAGUAACACGUGGAUAACCUACCUAUAAGACUGGGAUAACUUCGGGAAACCGGAGCUAAUACCGAAUAAUAUAUUGAACCGCAUGGUUCAAUAGUGAAAGACGGUUUUGCUGUCACUUAUAGAUGGAUCCGCGCCGCAUUAGCUAGUUGGUAAGGUAACGGCUUACCAAGGCGACGAUGCGUAGCCGACCUGAGAGGGUGAUCGGCCACACUGGAACUGAGACACGGUCCAGACUCCUACGGGAGGCAGCAGUAGGGAAUCUUCCGCAAUGGGUGAAAGCCUGACGGAGCGACGCCGCGUGAGUGAUGAAGGUCUUCGGAUCGUAAAACUCUGUUAUUAGGGAAGAACAAAUGUGUAAGUAACUAUGCACGUCUUGACGGUACCUAAUCAGAAAGCCACGGCUAACUACGUGCCAGCAGCCGCGGUAAUACGUAGGUGGCAAGCGUUAUCCGGAAUUAUUGGGCGUAAAGCGCGCGUAGGCGGUUUUUUAAGUCUGAUGUGAAAGCCCACGGCUCAACCGUGGAGGGUCAUUGGAAACUGGAAAACUUGAGUGCAGAAGAGGAAAGUGGAAUUCCAUGUGUAGCGGUGAAAUGCGCAGAGAUAUGGAGGA
rnacentral:rRNA from 1 species